CCUACCUCACUAGCUGCCUCUCACCAGCUAUUCAUCCCUUACAUGGCCUACACAGCCGUUCCCCAUAGAGAUAGUUUAACACCUCUGGACGCACUUGCAUUUGUCUUGCCCCUUUCUCUCUCUGGUGUUCCCACAAGUGUGCCAGUAUGUCGCAGACAUUCCACAGACAUCCAGCCCUGCCAGCUCACCAGGACCACCUGGAAACUUAGCAGAGCACUGUAAUGUACCUCCUUCAGCUCCAAGCAGCCAACAACCUGCAAUGGCAAAGAAAGGAACAGCGAGACUGCGACAUAAGUGAACACCUGACCAGCAUCAUCCUCUCCUCGGCCCACACCCUCAAGGGCCUCAGACAGGAGGUAAAUGAGCUGAAACGGCAAGUCACAGAGUUCUGCAGAGAACUGACACCUGCUCAACGAGAGAAAGCACAGAACGGAUGCAAAGAACCUCAAAGAAUGGUGCGACAGAAGGAAAUCACCAGUCUUCACAGAGGCUCUAACAGCUGCUAGACACCAAGCGCCGCUGGAAAAAGGCAUCAACCUGUUCUCUUCUCAAGUCCU